CCCAGCCGGCGCGGCCUCCGCUGCGAUCCCCUGGAUCCUGAACCUGCUGAGCCCAAGCUGGUGGGACAGAUGGACACAGUGACACAGAUUUCUUGUGCGUAGCUCUCCUCUGCUACUGCCCCCCGCGGCCCGGCAUCAGAGGACCUGGGAUCGCCCCGGGACCACGCGAGGACCUCCUCGCUGUGGGACAGGCCAAUGCCUCAGCCUCCUGAGCCUCAGUUGUUUCUUCUGUAAAAUGGGAAUAACAACAUUCACACCAAUUCUUCUUCCUUCAAGAGAUGAUGCUGGAGAUCAAAUGAGGCAAAAGGUGGAAAAGUCAAUUAUAAAGCACUUUCAAAUACAAGCUCACGGUGUGGCACACUUGGAAACAGUGAUCUUCCUGCUAUCUCCCCUGUAUGGCCUGCACCCCAUCAGGAAGACCCUUUGCCAGGCAGCUGUGCGAGGUUUACGAGUGCAGUGAGUGCAGGAGCGGUCACUGGGGUGGCAGAAGAAACUCUGGGCCCGCUCACCACUCGUUGGCUGGAGGGGUCCUUCCAGAGCCCGAAGAUUCCCUCCCCAGAUUUUCCUUAUGAGGCAAGCGGGCAAGCUGGCACUGGCACUGGCUGGGCAGCCCCAGGAGAUGGGGCUGGAGAGGCUCCAUCACUACUAUGGGUUCAGACCUCACCCUGAAACCCAUUAAACCCAUGUCUUGUAAGCCCUACAGGUGGUGUCAAGAGGAAUUUUCAGGGCACUGACAGGCUUCUCCAAAGGGAGAGGCUCUAGCUGGGUCUGUGCACUACUCUGCAGGAAGAAGCAGUGUUUAGGGGCAGCAGGAUCUGGGGCAUCAGGAGAACCAGCGCCUCUGGUCCUCACGUGCUGUCCACCUUGGGCGAUCCCCUCCCUUCACUGGGCACAGCUGGCAGGUGACCCAUGAUCAUAAGACAUGUAAAUGUGGCAGAAGAGGAAAAAGUUGGUGACAGUGCCUCCCCCAUCCUACCAUCCUUGAUAGUCUGCUGUAAAGUUUCUUCUCAAUAUUCAACUAACCAUGCACGCUUCUGAAAUGGAAUUUGGGAUCACACAUACAUCGCUCUCUUGGGCUUUCUUGCUAUCCAUGCCUAGGUCUGCCGCCUUCCUUCAACCAACUGCAGAGUAUCCCAGCAUUGGACUAUUUUGUGACUAUUUCCACAGGGUAAUCCCUGAAGUGAGAUUACAGGAUCAAAAUAUUUCUCUACCUCCUCAAUAUGUUGCAUUUUAUCAUUGCUUUUUCGAAUUUUGGUAGUGAUGGGUGAAAAUGAAAUUGUGUUCGAAUUUUAAGUUGCUUAAGUAUUCAUGAGGCUGAGCAUCUUUUUUCUUUUUUCUAUGUUUAGUGGCUAUUGUAUUUCUUCUGCAAAAAGCUUGCUUGGGUGGCAGCCCAAUUUUUCUCUUGGAAUGAUGCUAUUUUUUCAUAUCUUUUAAAAAAUUUUUAGAAAUUUUUAUUGAAGUAGAGUUGACUUACAGUGUUGUGUUCAUUUCUGCUGUACAGCAGCGUGAUUCAGUUACACAUAUGCACAUAUCCAUUCCCAUAUAGGUUAUCACAGAAUAUUGAGGAGAUUUUCAGGGGCUAUACGCAGGGCUCCAUUUACCCUGCAUUCCGUAUACCAUAGUGUGCCCGUGCCAUCCCAAGCUCCCCAAUCUUUCCCUCUCCCCGACCUGGUAUUUUUCUUAAUUUAAAACAGCACUUUAUAUAAUAAAGCCCUCAAUAUACUGUUUGUCAUACAUUUUCCCCUCAUUUAUCUUCUGUUUAUGGUAUGUGUUUUGCACACACAAAACUUAAAUAAUUGUGCAGGUGAAAUUUUUAAUUUUUUCCUUUCUGGAUUCUGAGGUGUAUCUCUUUUCAAGAAAGGCCUUCUCAGUCUCAAGAUUAUGGAAUUCUUAUUUUUUUAGUUUCUUUUCCUAUUUUUAUAAUUUUUCAAAAUGUAUAUACAUCUUCAUUACAUUGCAAUGUAUUUUGUGUGUGUGAAUGUGGCAUGAGGUGAAAACUCAAUUUUUCCCUCCUCCACAUGGGUAACUAAUUAUUCCAGCAUUGUUUAUGGAAAAAUAUUUAGUCUUUCUCCACUAACAAGAAAUACAAUCUUUAUCAGAUACUAGAUUCCCAUAUAUACACUUUAUUUUAUUAGCCUAUUUUAUUCUAUCUUACACUCUAUUUUAUUCAUUUAUCUAUAUGAUCUUCCUACAACCUUGUCAUAAUGCUUAUUAUUCUGACUUUGUAUUAUCUUUUAAAAUCCAAUAAAGCAAGCAUCCUCUUUUAUUUUUUUACAAAAAUUGUUUAUUUUCAUGUAUCCAUCCAAUCUCCUAGACAAAAGUUCGAAUCAAUUUGUUCUUUUAAUCAGAAAUUUAACUGAAACUUAUAAACUAACUUGGAGGAGAAUUGAAAUCUUCACAACGUUUAGCCAUCCCAAGCAGAAAUACAGUAUUUAGUUUAUUUAGAUUUCCUUUGAUAUACUUCAAUAUUUGCUUCUAAACAGGUCUUAGAUAUUUCUUGCAUGAAUAAGUCACUGUAUUUUCAGUUUUGUGGGUGAUUUAUGCUUUGUUUUGUUUUUGCUAUGGUGAAUGGAAUAAUUUUCAUUUUAUAUUUUCAACUUGUUAUUACUAUUAUAUAAGAAAGCUAGUUUGUGUCUGGGAAUCCUUGCAAACUCUCUUAUUUUUUCUAUUAAGUAAUCAGUGGAGUCUCUUGGAUUUUCCAUUUAAUAACUGCUUGACUUAUUAGCCUAUUAUAGAAAAUGAAAACAUAAAAAAGGAAAGAAGCGAACAGUACCUGUAAAAUCAAUUCUUCUGAAAUAGACAUUGUUAAGAUUUUGAUGAAUAUCCUUCAAAAAAGUAUGAUAUAUAUAUAUAUAUAUAUAUAUAUACACAUAGGUAUUUAAAGAGUAUCAUAAUAUAUAACAUUGUGCAUAUAUCUACUGAAGUAGACAAACAUAUAUGUCUAUGAAUUAAGUAGAAUGUAUACCAAAUCUCACAGACAGCAUCAUAACAUGAAUAUUGUUUUCUAAUCCACUUUUCCUACUUAAUAAAAUGUUAUCCA
rnacentral:lncRNA from 1 species